rnacentral:rRNA from 1 species
ACAGCAGCAGCCGCGGUAAUACGGAGGGUGCAAGCGUUAAUCGGAAUUACUGGGCGUAAAGCGCACGCAGGCGGUCUGACAAGUCAGAUGUGAAAUCCCCGGGCUUAACCUGGGAACUGCAUUUGAAACUGUCAGGCUAGAGUCUUGUAGAGGGGGGUGGAAUUCCAGGUGUAGCGGUGAAAUGCGUAGAGAUCUGGAGGAAUACCGGUGGCGAAGGCGGCCCCCUGGACAAAGACUGACGCUCAGGUGCGAAAGCGUGGGGAGCAAACAGGAUUAGAUACCCCGGUAGUCCCUGUCUCUUAUAC